rnacentral:lncRNA from 1 species
GGCGCAGCUGCUCUUGGGAGAAGGAGGCGGCCCAUAGAAUGCCCAGGAGUGACAAGCUGUCCUGAGCCCCUCUGGUGUACUCACCUGCCUGUCCCAUACGCCCCGCCCACCAUGGAGUCCAGAGGGAAGUCGGCCAGCAGCCCUAAGCCUGACACCAAGGCGCCCCAGGCCACCACCGAGGCCAAGGUACCCCCGGCAGCCGAUGGGAAGGCCCCCUCGACCAAGCCCUCGAAGAAGGAGGCCCCGGCCGAGAAGCAGCAGCCGCCAGCGGCCCCCACCACGGUACCUGCCAAGAAGACCCUGGCCAAGGCCGACCCUGCCCUUCUCAACAACCACAGUAACCUGAAGCCGGCCCCCACGGCCCCCGCGGUCCCCAGCAGUCCUGAUGCAACCCCAGAGGCCAAGGGUCCUGGGGAUGGGGCGGAGGAGGACGAAGCUGCCGGUGGGGGGUCUGGGGGCCAAGGUCCCUGGUCCUGCGAGAACUUGAACCCCCUGCUGGUGGCUGGAGGUGUGGCCGUGGCAGCCAUAGCCCUGAUUCUCGGUGUGGCCUUCCUGGCCCGGAAAAAAUAAUACCUGGGGGCCAGGCGGGGGGCACGGAGUCACUUCCUGUACAGACCUGAGGAAGCCAGUGCAUGCAGAGUUCACCCUUAUCUACGUGUACACACACACAUUCAUUACACACCUACAUAUGCCCCCAAUACACACACAAAGUGGAGAGGAUGCCCGAGCCCACCCCUGCUGACCCAGGACUUCCCCAACCUCCAGGGCAGAAAGAGUCCAGGCUCCGGGGUCCACAGCACAGGAUGCGGGGAGAAGGCACAGCUGGGGAACCUCAAGAAAGGAACGGACCCCAUGUGUGGGCCCCCCACCCCCGGCAGCUGGGUGAUCCUGGGCCCCCAGGGCUGGUCUCUGAGUGGGGGUGCUGGGAUGGGUUCUGCCUGGGCCCGGCCCUCGUGGGGACAUUAAAGGGCACGGUUGCUCCACUUGCCCCAGUUCUGCUCUUUGUGUACCCCUGGGGGUCUGCCUGGGCCGAUGCAGUGGGACAGACCUGGGGUGGGCAGUCACCUCAGCAGAGCCUCAGUGCCACCUCCCCACACCACCCAAGCCUAGCUGGGUGGGAAGACGGAGCCUGAAGCCUGCUUGUGGAGGGGGUGCUGCCCAAGGGUUGCCUUCCC